rnacentral:rRNA from 1 species
CACGCCGUAAACGAUGAGUGCUAGGUGUUAGGGGGUUUCCGCCCCUUAGUGCUGAAGUUAACGCAUUAAGCACUCCGCCUGGGGAGUACGGCCGCAAGGCUGAAACUCAAAAGAAUUGACGGGGGCCCGCACAAGCGGUGGAGCAUGUGGUUUAAUUCGAAGCAACGCGAAGAACCUUACCAGGUCUUGACAUCCUCUGACCACCCUAGAGAUAGGGCUUUCCCUUCGGGGACAGAGUGACAGGUGG